AUCUAGCUGAUGAGUAUCGAAUAGGGCGAAAUGCGCGUCCUGGAU
rnacentral:hammerhead_ribozyme from 1 species